AACACAGAGCCCGAUGCGGGACUCAAACCCACCAACCGUGAGAUCAUCACCUGAGCCGAAGUCGGUGCUCAACCAGCUGAGCCACCCAGGUGCCCCUCUCCUCGUUUCUUUAAAGCAGGAUCUUUAAUGGCCACUUAAAAUUCCUAAUGAACAUGUUAACGGCCCCCCACCUCUCUGGGCCACCCUCCUUGGCCCUCCAUUUCUGGCUGUGUCUUUUCGGCUGCAGGACUGCAGUGCCCUGGGAGUCCCCACUUGCCCCUUCGGGGACUUCUGGACACCCAUCCCCCUGGGUGAGUCGGACCUCACAACCGGGGGGACAUGCAGGGGCCACCGGCCAUGCUCCGUCCUGUCUGCAGCGGGCCGUCCGGUCCCCCUCUUCGGGCGCCCGAGGAAGGAGAUGAGCUACAAUUGGCCUGCGCUUUGACUGGGAUUUAUUUUAUUAUGUUUAAUUGAAAAGCUUUGAGGUCGUGGCAUGAAUAUUCAGCACGGUGGCUGCUGGCACGGGAGCUGGUGUCUGAUUCUAGGACGCGCCCCAGCACGGGGCCUGUCAGAGGGGGAGUGAGGUGGGGAAGCUAUUAAUUGAAAUAGCUUCAUUAAUUAGUAAUUAACAGCAGGGAAAUGACUGUGUCACACGUCCUAUUUCAGUGGAUGCCCUUCAUGUGUUAUGGGGCCUUUAAUUAAAGGACGUGCAUUUUAAUUAAAGGCAAGCUUGGCCCUUUGGCCUUUGGAAUACAAAAGACACUCCCAACUUUGAAAGAAGCUGGCGGGGAGGCUGGUGCCGGUGGCGGGGGAGCUGUGUUCUCCGUCGCCGACCAGCCCCUUGUGGGGCAGUGGACCCUGGCUGGUCCUCCUUGGAGUCUAGCUGAUGCCCUUCCUGAGCCCGAGGCGGUGGCCAUGUGGGGUUACAGGCCAGCGGAGGGGAGGGGGGCUGGCCAGCACUGCCAUGCCCAAGCAGCCCUGUGUCCCCGAGUCCUGCGAGCAGGGGCUGGAAGCUGGGAGAAGGUGCCUCGGGGUGGGUGCUGUCCCCGCACCUUCCACCGGCCCUGGGCCCCACCCACACCAGGCACUCAUCCCUGCCUGUCCUCAGUGGGCAGCGGGGAGGCCAGGGGCUCACCAGAGCUGCGCCUGGCAGUGGGGGGAAGGACCUCAGCCUGCUCCUCACACCCUGUGAGCCAGCGUCCAGCGGGCAGGGCCUGAGCCCGCCAGCCACCGUGCUGUUGCAGAGACCUCGGGGCCCCUCCUGCCACCCUCCUCCUACCAACAAAGAUGUAGACAGCCAGCUCGAGACCCACACCCCGUUCCUGCUCCCUCUGUCUCUGUCUCCAUCUCUCUGUCUCUGUCUCUGUCCCCCCAGAGGGUCCUGUGCCCCUCUCAGCCUGACCACCUACUAAAAUGACUCUUGCCAAGGUCAGUGAGGCAGCUUAGUGGCGGGGACUGACCCCGGGGCUCCUGCUUCAGUCUCUGAGACUCCAGGCCCCGUGUCCCUCCAGCCCUCACACCUGGUGCCUGUGGUCAGUCAGACACACCUGUUCUCUGCCCUGCCUAUAUUUUCCACCUCCAGACCUUGGCCUGGCCUCUGUCACUGCCUAGAUCACCCCCACCCCAUCACCCAACACACACGUACACAUGCGUGCACACACGUGUACGUGCAGGCACACACACGGUGCUGGUGUGGCAGGGGCCCCCCACUAGACAGGGGCUCUGAGGGCGGGGCUCAUGAACAGUGCUCCUUCACGCCCCCCAGCCUGGGGCCUGGCCUCGGUGGUCCUUGGUGGAGGGCACUGUGCCCUCUGCUCUGCCUGGCAGAGAUACCCAGCAUCAACAGGCCCUGGGACACGUGUGGUGGGAAUCCUGGGGUCUGCUGCCUUGGCAUUGAUCAGGCAGCUUUGUGCCCGCCUCGGGGGGAAGCGGGCACAGGGGAGGGAGGCCCUUCCUCCCCGAGAAGCCGAGCUGCUAUUUUAAAAGUAGCCCCCAAAUUCCUUUCCUUGAGCACCUUGGAUCUAGGUGGUCUCUGAGACCGGAAGGUGAUUUCUGGAUUAGGUCAGGGAAAGCUCUCCUGGGACACUGGGUCUGGGGCCCCCACCAUGCUGUGAGGGAGACACGGGGAGGCCCUGGUGUGCAUGAAGAGACAGAGGCUCUCUGGCUAACUGCACGAGGAGCCCCCGACAGAAUGGCCCAGAUGAGCCCCCUCCAAUGCCCGACCUACAGCGGCUGCUAGAGAGAAUACGAUGAUUAACGUAAAGUAGCCUGGAUUUCGGGUGACGGGUUAGGGCUUCCUGAGGAGAGAGUGGAGGGGUGUGCCCGUCCAACGUGGGUGCUGGAGGGUCUGGGGGCAUCUGAGCUGGGUCCGGCUUGCGGGAGGAACGGGGCUCGUUCUCUUGGGAAGACCGCAGGGGGGCCCUGAGUUUAAGGGCAUCCAGCUCUGGUCCCCAGCCGCCCUUCGGCUGUCCAGUCUUGGCUCACGAUUGUUGUUCAGGGAGAAUUCGACCGAUGCCCACUUCCUCCUGCUCACAAAAGCAAUGCCUGCCUUUGCUCAGGUGGGCAGAGGACCCAGGAGCUGCUUUAGGAAGGAGCCGGGAAAGCGUCUGUGCCAAGGACAGACUAACAGAGAUGCCACUAAUGCCAGGGACAUGUGACACGAAGUACACCCUGUCCAAUUAAAUUAUUUAACGCGUUAGCAUUAAUUGCCAUCCGGCAAACCCGUAAGUGGUUCAAGUUUUCCCUCUUCCUCUGGCUCAGAGAGCCUUCAGCCGGUGCCCAGGCUGGGAAUGUAUUUUCCUAUUUCCUCCUGUUCCUCGGUGAAGAGGACGCCUGGGGGAUGCGCUCCCUGUGUACGAGCCGGCGGUUUCCCCGACACCUGCUGCACCCAGCAGGGACGUUUCGUAUUCUGUCGACCCCCCUCCUGUCUUCUAUCUCUGUGCCUGCCUGGAUGCACGUUUGUAUUCCCAGAAUUAGGUGCCUCCACAGGGACCAGCCCAGCGCCCUCGGGGUAGGUGUGACGGUGGCGUUUUAGCGUCCCGAGGCUGUCAGAACAAAGUGCUGCGUGCUAGGGGCUCCAACCACAGAGGCCGCCCCCACCCCAGGCCUCUCUCCUGGGCCCCGUGCAGAUGCCAUCCUCCAGAUCUCUCCUUACAAGGACACGGACUGGAUGGGGCACACCCCACUGAUCUCAUUUGACCCGAUCACCUCUGUGAAAACCCCCCUUCCAAAUACAGUCACCCCGACAUCCCGGGAGUUAGAGCUUCAACAUUGGGUUUGGGGGACACAAUUCAGCCAUACAGUGUGGCUUCUCUGUUGCCACCUGCCCUGAACCCAGGGCCGUAGAGGGCAGGUGAGGCUGCCCUGGAGGCCAUAGAAAAUGCUGUGGGCGACCAGACCCCACUUAGGAUGGGGGUGGGGGCUGCUGGCAGCUGCCAGCCGAGCCCCUUUCCCAGGCUGCGCCUCCCCCAGGGUUGGCCCGCCGCCCCACCCCACCAGCACCCCCAGCCUCAGCUGGACCGCAGUGAGGGCCGUCAUAGCUCCAGAACCUCCCGCGGGGCCAUGGAGACCUCGGCUGUGGCUGCGGCUUUCCCCCUGCUCCGUCCCUCCCCACAGGGUGGUGCCGAGACCCCCCCUGUGACCUCCUGCGGCAAAUCUCCACCCGGCCCCCGGGGCAGCCUCUCCUGGCUGGGGGGAGACCCAUGUCCUCCGUGUCUGAGACUCUCCCUUUGCUGCAACAGAAACGCCAGUGCAGGCCCGGGAGACCACGGUGCAGACAGAACACAGCGCCCCAGCGACCGGCGUCCAGGGGAACGAACGGCUCAGUCCUGCUCGCCACAAACAAGCCGCGGGCCCGUAAGCCCUGGCGCACAGCACGGCCCGUGGAAAGACGCACGGCAUCAUCAUUUGCUGACGUGCGGAUCCACCUCGGCGGGCCCGGCGCCCAGCCAGGAGGCGGCUGGAAUCAGCACACAGGCCGCGGGAAGCGUUGGCGUGAACGCGGUGGGGAAGCGGAGCCCCACUCACGCCGGCCGGGGGGGUACAGGGUGCAGCCCCCGGGCAGAGCCGCCUGGCAGAUCCUCAGACGCCGAACUGUGAGGUUUCCAUAGCAACCCAGCAGCUCCAGCGCUCCGCGUGCGCCCAAGAGGGAUGGCGGGGUGUCCGUGCAGAACCCACACGCGGACGCUGGCGGCAGCCAGAGCUGGAGACAACGACGGGUCCGCCAAACGCGGUCCAGCCCCCGGCGGGGUGUCACUCGGGCUCAGCAAGGAGCGAAGCGUGGACGCGGCCGCGUGGACGAGCCUUGAAACCACGGCGUGGGGAUGAUGGCUUUUUGGGGAAGGAGGGCUGUGCCACCAUUCAGAUUCCUCUGCCCCGUCCCCAGGACUUUGCCCCAAAUGGAUGACCAAGCAUACACGGAUCCGCAGGCACCACCCGCGAGGACACCAGAGCCACAGACCCCACACAGCUUCCAUCAUGUGAUGUGUUCCCUGGAGAACGUUCUCCGGAGCUUCCUCGCUGAGCCGGUGAAGUCCUUGCUCAUCAUUCCACGUGGCCACACACACCAUGUCCAACAUUUCCACGGCUCUGCUGCUGAAACGACUUCACCAGGGUUAACUCAUCUACAUGAAAGAUGCCCCAGGCUGGGCUACCUGGUCCAUUGUAGCACGGGUCACGUUGUCAAAACUGGCCAAUUACAGCGUCUGCUCUCUCUUGGGGUCUCUAUGUCCAGCUGUCCAGCUACCCUGGGAGCUCCGAAGCCCUGACAUGGCCAGGCGGAACUUUUCCUUCCUUCCAUCAACCUUUAGCUGACGUGCAGCCCUGGGCUGAGCCCCCCAGCACCAUGCAGGCCCCUGGCAAAGAUGGGCCAAGAACCUGAGCAAGAACAACGUUCUUGGGGCCAAAGUCCCCAGGGCCGGCUGGUCACUCUCAUCAGCUGCCUGUGCCUGUGCCUAACCCUGGCCUCGUUCUUCCCCUCCAACCAGUGACAAUCAGGGACGUGACUCCGGCCAUCUCAGUCCUUCCCUCCGUGUGGUGAGGGUCAGGGAUGUGACCUGGGCCGCCCCGUCUCCCUUCCCCUCUGUCCAGUGGGGUGGAGACGAUGGUGGGCUUCGCUUGUACCAGGGCUCCCUGCCCCUGCCAUCUCCCAAAGCAAACCUCUCCCUGCCUUCAGUAUUUGACCCACAUUGUGUAGCGAAUGUGACAAGGGCUGUGGGCCAAUUUCUGUCCCCGGGACCAUCUGUUGUUUGUGAGCAGCGGGCAGUUGUCUCCACUUUCCAGGGCGGACAGCCCCUCGGACUGGCCUGGCCCUGCUCUGGCUGCCUGACUAGCGGCCCCCCAGCCCCACCUGCCACUCUGACCCGAUCCUGGGCUUGGGCCCAUGAGUUCCCAUCAGGAGUCGUCUCCAGAAUUGGCCCUAAUUGUUGGCUACUUGGCAGCUCCUGGGGACACUGAGGAGAUGUGAGGGUCCUGCACUUGCCUCCUCGUGGCUGGAGAGAGCCCACCUCAUUUGUGGUCCCUGCCUGGGGAGGAUCCUGCUCGGGGAGGACACUGCCUGGGAACGACCCUGCCUCGGGAGGACCCUGCCUGGGGAGGACCCUGCUUGGAGAGGACACUGCCUGGGGAGGACCCUGCUGGGGGAGGACUGAGGGCAAGUGGGGACAGUCAGGGUGGAGGCCUUUGGGAUGACCCAGUCUGCAGACUCUGGUGAGGGUGCAGCCCUGUCCAGCCAGCCAUCCCACAGGGUGGGCAGGCACCUCCACCCCGCCACACCCAGGACCUCAUCGGGGGUCCCAACAGACACUUCUUCUCCCUCAAGCCUCGCUCUGUCACUGAAGCUGCUCUGGGGCAGUCCCCCCCUCCCCUUUACAAACUUGUGUCUUUGUCCUGGGAAGAAAGAGUCCUGUGUGCUUGCUAGCAAGAAUCAAAGGGGUUUGAAGAAUAACUGUUUUCCUAAGUUUUAGCUGACAUUCAAUUUUAAUGACUUUUUAAACAAAGUAACUAUUAAACGUGUGCUGUUUUAUGGUC